rnacentral:tRNA from 1 species
GGUUGUGGCUCAGCGGUAAAGCACUCGCCUAGCAUGUGUGAGGCCCUGGGUUCAAUUCCCAGCACCA